AUCAAAACAUCACCUUUUAAGCCUUAAAAUAAGAUUAUGUUUUUUGUAAACAAUCAAGUGUUUAGUCACUACCAUAGCAACAGAUGCUACAGAUGGCUGGUCCAGGAGAUGGGCUGGCCUGGGGUUGAAGGGAGGAAGUGUUCCUUCUUCAUUCUUUAAUCUUUGCAGUGCUAUUAUCUGAUCUGAAGAACCCAUAGCUAAAAAGACUCGAAGACUCCCAUUUUGGUGGCCUGAGAACACAUCAAUCACAGGCAUGUAGCUGUCGACAGCAACAACUGGAUACUGAGCAUCAAGCAGCAGGCGAGAAAUCUUGGGAUCUCUAAAGGGAGAGAAAUUGUGCACGAGUACUCAUGGACAGGAUCUAGGUCUUGCUAUCUGGAUCCAUCCACAGGAACUGUUAACAAAAGGUCUGGGCCCAGCAAGCGCACACCCACUAGACCAGUUUACCUGCUUAUCCCACCACGGAAAGAGAAGUAAGACAACACCUACACCUCAGUGGUGUGCUGAGAGGAUCAACUGAGUUUCAGAUUCAGUGACUUACGGGUGCUGUGUAAAACAAGUUCUCCAGGAGACUCUGGUCAUACUGAGGGUCACUGGGCUCACUGCUGCAAUACACAUCACUCCCAGGAGAUGGGGAAUCUGGAGGAGAGCCUAGUCCGUCCCAGUAACGACCUUGGGAUAAUUCGGCACUGCAGAGAUAAGAAAAACAAAGCAGGACUUUAAGAGAAGUUUCAGCUGAGCUAUUCUUUUUCUUAUUAAACGCUUUGAAGUUCUAAAUGUGGAAGAAAAUAUGUUAAACAGAAGACUUACAUUAAACAGAAGAUUAUCUGAUAAAUAGUUUCAUAGUAUAUUCCCCCUCCUCUGGGGUGUCAACAGCUAGCAUUCAAAAAAUACACUACUGACAGUGAUUGUGAUCGCAUUCAUUUAUUUAACAAACAUUUUAGUGGGUAACUAUUAUGUGCCAGGCAUGGUGUUAGGUCCUGAAUGCUACAGAGAUGGCUAACCUAACUUGUUCUACUCUUGUGCUGCUUAUGGUCUAGUAGGGAGGAAAAAAGGCAAAGAAUUAACUAUAAUUCAAUGAGUUAAAUGUUAUAUACUGUUUUUGUGAAGAAUGGCUAAUUCAUAAAUAUGCCUUCUAUUAAGCAAAAAUAUGUGUAUUUAGGUUAAUUAUGGCAAGAUUAGUUCUAUGUGGGAUAGAGAAAUAAGUAAAACAGAUACUCUAGUUAUAAAGAGUUUGUAAACUAAUAAGAAACAUAAGCAUACAAAUACGUGUAUAUUUCAUUCAUUUUUGUUUCUC